UCUGUACAGGCAGCAAGCAGGUUAGAAGGGAAAAAAGAGGCAGAAUGAAGACAGAUUAGACAGAGAAAACAGUUAAAUAAGAGUUACUAAAGAAACUGGUCACAUGACAGACAGUUCAGUAACAUAGAGAGAAACAUUUUACCUCUGUUUCUAGAACUCUAGUAAUAGCUACUCCAAGGAACAGUUAUUGUACCAUAUCAAGAACUGGCUAAGAAUCCUGUUGUGGGAACAGCUGUGAGACACAAACUGGAAUAGAAAUGAAGAACUGCAGCUAUAUUCCUAGAAGUACUAUGUCUUACUUUAGUCUUCUGUACAGUAUGUGAAUUUGUUUUAUGAGUGCCAUUUUUCUUUGCAAGCUAUUCAAGGUGUAGUGUAACCUCAUCUGCCAGUAGAGAGAAAACAAUUGCACUACAGCCAGCAUAAGUAACAGCAGGCAAGAUGCUAGUAGGCAACUACCACCAGGUCAACUCAGCCCAUACUCCUCUCCUAGUAGGUCUGAUGGGCUGAAAUGUUAUUUUUGAUAGGUAAAUAUUACUGGGGUUACUGGAAUCAACACAUUUUGAUACCUUUAAGUUGCUGAGUUUUACUUCGUAAGAAAACAGACUCACAUUUGGUGAAAAUGGAAAGGAAGGAUGAACGCUUUGCUCAAAAACAGCAAACAGAGGACAAUUUGUGUUGAAACAGAACAGCCACAGCCAUGUUGUGACAGGACAUUUAGUGAGAGUUGCUCUGCAGAGUAAAAAUGUUCCACAAUGGCUUUUGACUAUCUUGUGUUCUCAAAUUGCCCAUGCUCUUCUCAAUAGCCUAACUGCACUCCUGAUCUCUUGAUCCCAGAUUAUUCCCCUACAGGAAAUGACUGUUUCUGACUCUUUUCUACAAGCUGCCUAACAGCUUCCACAGGAAUCCUCUUCCCCUGCAGGCACUGGACACAGCAAAGGCAAAGCUGUGCAGUGAGCUGGUCUGCAGGACAUGCUUGUAUGGUGAGCAACUCCUCCCAGCUUCCUCCCUAGCCUAAACUCCCACAGCCAGCUCAGUAAAGCCAGGGCACAUUUCACAGCUCUGAUCCUGCAGAUCCUCCAGUAACAAAUGGAUCUUGUCCCUCUCAUCAUGAUAAUGUCACAUAUAUGCAAAAAAACAUCAAAGCCUUACAGUAAUAAAACUUCCAUUUGUCUAACAAAGUGUAUAUAGUUGUUAUUCAAAAAUUAAUCUUACUGUGAACUUACUCUUAUCAUCAUCACAGAAAUCUCCUCUCUGACUGAGGCAGAUUUACAGUAUUUACACCUGAGAUUUGCAGUAUUUCUCAACUUCCAAAACAACUAAAUCCCCCAGUAAAGCAGGGAAAGCACUUCCCAAGCAGACAGUGAGCCCUUGACUCCCUAUGGUCUGUGUGUCCAUCUGCUCCAGAGGCAGAGGCUGGCUCUGCAGGAGCCCCAGCAGCAGAACAGGGACUUCUGGCUCUGUUCAGAGCCAGCAAUGCUCAGCAGAGCCCAGAGCCAGCCCUGCACUCCUGGGAACAAUCCUCAGGCACAAAACCAGCCAGACACGGCAGGUACAAUACCACAGUGGAGGGUGACAAGAGUGCUGAGCCACACCAGAGUGGGGAACCACAACAGCUCCCUGGAGUGAAGAUCAGAGCAGCAGAACCAGCCAGGAAUUCUGCAUGCAGCUACCUGGGGAUCUACAUUGCACUGCUCAUUUCCAGUACUCUGUCCAGCCAUCUGUCAUCCUUCAGUGCAGAGCUGAUCAUGUAUGACUGACACUAAAGGCAAAAUUUUAAUACUGAUGUUUAAAAUCACUAUGUUAAAAACUGACAGAUUCCUACAAUGGAUUUUGCUUUUUCUGUUUACUUUUCCUAAGAAAUACCAGUACUGCAAGGAAUUGAGUGAACUCUGCUAAAACAAUGAACCAAAACACAAUAGAGUAAGCAGCUGGAGUUGCUGUAGCAUAUUUUACUCUGGCUCAGAUGACAAGUUACAGAUGAUCACAAUGCCCCUAACUCCUGCAUUUGUGAAGUUAUUAGCCUCAGUCAUUUUACAAAUGCUCAUCCAUUAUAUUUGCUUAACUUUUAUAUAUCCUAUUCUAUCUGGUUACCCUUCACACACAGCCACUUACUGUGUCACUCGAGGAGUAGUAAGUUACUGAACUUAAUUACUUGAACUGUCUGAGAUUGCUGAUAUAUGUCCUGUAUUUGGGCUUCUGCCCCCAGCCAGCAACAUUAGGAUGUGUCAUAGGUAGAAAACUGGGAUGUGCCAUAGUUAUCCAAGGAUGGCAGGCCAAGAAGGGCAUGCAUCCAUUCACAAGUCUUAUUGGGAAAACAAGUUUUGAGGAGGGGAGAAAAUGUAGUUUAGACUGCACUGUUGAAUCAUCUUGAAGCUGAAUAAGAAAGAGACAUUUACAUUUUCCUAAAAGUU